GAUGAACGCUGGCGGCGUGCCUAAUACAUGCAAGUCGAGCGAACGGACGAGAAGCUUGCUUCUCUGAUGUUAGCGGCGGACGGGUGAGUAACUCGUGGAUAACCUACCUAUAAGACUGGGAUAACUUCGGGAAACCGGAGCUAAUACCGGAUAAUAUUUUGAACCGCAUGGUUCAAAAGUGAAAGACGGUCUUGCUGUCACUUAUAGAUGGAUCCGCGCUGCAUUAGCUAGUUGGUAAGGUAACGGCUUACCAAGGCAACGAUGCAUAGCCGACCUGAGAGGGUGAUCGGCCACACGGGAAGUGAGACACGGUACAGACUCCUACGGGAGGCAGCAGUAGGGAAUCUUCCGCAAUGGGCGAAAGCCUGACGGAGCAACGCCGCGUGAGUGAUGAAGGUCUUCGGAUCGUAAAACUCUGUUAUUAGGGAAGAACAUAUGUGUAAGUAACUGUGCACAUCUUGACGGUACCUAAUCAGAAAGCCACGGCUAACUACGUG
rnacentral:rRNA from 1 species